rnacentral:tRNA from 1 species
AAAAAAGAACUGAUGAGAGUGGGAUUCGAACCCACGCCCCCGAAGGGACUGGUGCCUUAAACCAGCGCCUUAGACCGCUCGGCCAUCUCACCG